GGAAGAUGUGGGUACACUGAUUACCCUCAGGGCUUGGAUCCAUGGUGCAAUUUAUGCAAAUGCAAACCUGGUUUAAAAGGUUCCUGUCCUGCCUGUUAGCCCUUUCCCCACCCUCAUCGUUCCUUCCCACCCCAGUGUGCUUUAUGUAGCUCUUCCUUGGAUCACGCUCCAACUCAGAAGAGUGAUGUGGUUCAGGUUAAACCCAAACUGGGAAGUUUAAGGUGAUAUUUUAAGAUCUUUUUUUGAAAGUGUGCUUAGACCAAAGAGGCUCUGCUCUGAAUCUGUGGGCAAAGCUGGAAUGACAAGCAGGCAAUGUCCAACCUGCUCUGCACAUGUCUCCACAUACCAAGGGAAAAGAUGCUUUAACUGCAUUUUCAGUGCUGCCCUGUUUGAAUGGAAGACAAAGCAGUGUGAGAGCAGAGGGUCACGCUACGCAGAGGGACUCAGCUCUGAGUUUCAGCAAGAACAAAAGCAUGUUGUUACCCCGAGGAACUGUCGGUGGGCACAGAUGCAGCUGUGGUGUGAUGCCAGGAUUGCCACGAGGUGCCCGAGCAUGCUGAUUUCCCGCAGACCCAUGCUGAGGACCUUCCAAGGGGGAAAUAGCUCCCGGCAGCUACCAGCCCCGUGCUGUUCCUGCUGUCACGACAAGGAGAAAAUGCUUCACAGGACGGUGAGCUCAGCUCAGCGGCACAGAAAUAGCUGGACACAACUGGAAAAGUUCCCUGGAAAAGGUAAUUAUGUGAUUCCUGCUUAUUCAGAGGCUGAAUUUGUCCCAGUAGGGUCAGGGCAUAGAGGUGGUUUCUGCACUGCCUAGUGGACUUCUGGACUGCAUCCCAGUCCAGCUCCCAGCCCAAGGUACCUGGUGUCUCUGAGGACACCGGGCUUUUCUGGGUGGUGACCUCUCAGGGCAGCUCCUUCUGCACACCAUCAGCAUCCUGCCGUUUGAGGGAGACCUCGCUUUUCUGCCCCCCUUUUGUCUUAUGACCAAAGGUGACAGCAACUCUCUACUAACGAAAUGAGCAGAGGGAGGACCUCAGGGCUGGGGGAGCUGAGGCCAGAGGCAGAAGCAGCAGCAAGGAGGCCAGAGAGAGGCAGGGAGAGCAAGGGCACAGGUCCCCAGGGUGGGGAGCCCAGAGGUGCUCGUACUGGAGGGAGCAGCAGAAGCGCUUCAGGGAGGGCAGGAGAGAUGCAGGGAAAGGAGAAAGCCCCUGGCACACCCUAGGCUUGGGUCUGAUCCCCGCAGUGCCUGGAGAUGUACAAGCUAACAAAACACAUCUCAGCACACCCUCCUCCUUCCAGGUUCUCCCUGGGUUGAGACAGUAUCUUUGUUCUAAUAGGAGGAAUGUUUUUUAGCUCGGCUCUGGUUGUUUUGCUGGAUCUGUACUGCAUUAAACAGCCCAUCUUCUGGUUUAUAUUUUUUCCAGUUAUCAUAUUUCAUGUAUCCUGGCUCCUUUCAUCCAGCUCCGUAUCCCCCCAAGCAGAGACUAAGCAGGAUCCAGUCCUUGAGCUCGCUGCUCUCACGUGCACAGGAGUGAUGAUGAGCCCCCUGCCCCCCGUUUCCCUGCUGAGCUGUGGGAGCUUUAAUGCCAGGGCAUGCGAUUCUUUCCCGUGUUCUCCGCUCAGUCUGUCACCCAGAUCCUGCUGCCACGGCUGAGGGCUAGGGCUCGGUGGUGGUGUGUGCUGCCCCGCAGGCUUCACAUGGCAAGCUGGUUCUGAAGUCAGGCUGCACCAGUGACAGCAAGCCAGGGGUUGUGCUUAUUUCUUGUAUAACCUGGAUUUUCACUGUGGGUGCAUUAUAGGAGUGCAUCCAAGCAUGGUGGUGGCCUGACAUUACUUUUAGAAGUCCACUCUUUGGUAGAGCACUGUAACUUCUCUCAAACCUCCUGCAGGUCAGUGUUGUUGUGGUGGGAGUGCCUGUGAUCCUGCCACUGCCAGUCCCGUCCCUGUCUGUCUGCAGGCACCGGGACAGGUAAAGAGCUUCUCUGUCUUGGAAAUCUUCACAAACAGGCAUCUGAAACACAAGAAAAAUCAUCUGCAAACUGGAGUUGUGCAUUCCCCUACUUGCUCUAUCUGUCUUCCCAGGGCACAAACACCUUGGGGAAAUUCGGGCUUUGAGCCUCUGCAGGAUUUGCUUCUGGUUGUGUCCCAGAUGCCUUCAGCUCUGGUAGCUGCUCAAAUGUCAUUCUCCUGCAGUUCGCAAGGCCUGGGAGCAGGCUUCCAUGGGAGCAGGUCAAUUUACAUUGAGCUCCCUUUCACAAUCUCAGGCAAGCCCCUGAAAGCAUUGAUCUUUGUCCAUACAACUCUGGCUGUGUUUGCCCGAGGAAGGUGGCGCAGCCCAGAGGAGCUCCCAGAGCCCCGGGACACCCUACUUUCUGGUGUCCUUACCCCAACCCAAAUCCUACCAAGGACUCUCCCCUGAAAUACUCUAGGAAAUGCUCAGUUAAUCUCUUCCCGCUCAUUUAGAGGAGCAAGUGGUGUCUGUGGGUGGGCUGGGCUGGUGGAGCUCUCCCGCCCAGCAGCUAUUAUCCAGCAGCUCCUCGGGGGGGCAGGAAAGCCACUACCUAAUCCGUCCCUGGGCUGGAUGGGUGCCUGGAUCGGCUCGGUGUGCUCAGACAGCACACACACUACACGCCUGCCUCGUAGGAGAGCUCAUGGCACAGGCAUCUGUCACCGAAACCUGUCUGCAUGAAAGGCUGUCUGCACAACUGGGGGGGAAAGAAAGGCAUGACAGCACAAUUAGUGAGAGCAAAUGAAAGGCUGUUUGAAGAGGAGGAGGGAGGAAAGGGGAGAGCUGCACAAAUCCCUGGUGGGGUUUUGGGCUUGACAUCAAAACCCCUUAACAGUGUAUUACUUCAGCCCCCAAUGUGGACAGAUGUUGAGCUGUGGCUCAAAGGAAGUCAGAAAUCUUUCCUUAGAAAAAAAUUGGCUAGGAAACUAAAGAAAAUAUUGUGAAAGAAAAGGAAAUAAAAGCCCACUAAAAAAGAUUUAUCA
rnacentral:lncRNA from 1 species